rnacentral:rRNA from 1 species
UACAGAGGUGGCAAGCGUUGUUCGGAAUUACUGGGCGUAAAGGGCGCGUAGGCGGCCUUCUAAGUCAGACGUGAAAUCCCCAGGCUUAACUUGGGAACUGCGUCUGAUACUGGGAGGCUUGAGUGCGGGAGAGGGAUGUGGAAUUCCAGGUGUAGCGGUGAAAUGCGUAGAUAUCUGGAGGAACACCGGUGGCGAAGGCGGGUCUCUGGGCCGUAACUGACGCUGAGGAGCGAAAGCGUGGGGAGCGAACAGG